GCUUUGCAACCGCUGCCCUCACCAAGGCCUGGACCACAGCCCGAGCAGUCCAGCCCCUGCCCCAGCCACAGCCUCCCCCCAGCCCCCUGCCAUGGGCUCCCCCGGAACCCCCCCUGUGUGAUCCUUCCGACCCAGGGCAGCCUCACUGUCCUGGACACCCGGCCGCUGCAUCCUCUGCCCUUGUGUGACCUCCUGCAAGAAGGCAGGAGCACACCGCUCCCGGGCCUCGUGGCCAGGCACAAGCCCACCUCGUGUGGACCCCAGGCAUGGCAGGAGAGCCACCACGAGAGCCCCACCAAGGCACAGCCAGGGGAGGGCCCGCCAUCUCUUGGAUGGCUUCUGCGCUGUGGCCCCUGACAUUGAGUGUGGCUCAUUGUUGGUUGUGAGGCUGGCCUGUGCAUGAGGGGCUAUCAGGCAGCCUCCCUGGACCCUAGAAGCCAGACCCUAAUGGCUGCUCAGCCCCAGCCCAGUGGCAACAAAUGGAAGUGUCUCCAAACAUUCAUUAUCGAGUGUCCCCAGAGACCAAGACCAGCCCUGGAUAACACCCACUGGGCAAGUCCCUAGCAGACAGUGUGCACAGAAGUGGGCUGCAGAGAGAGGUAGGUGCGUCCCAUGCCUGGACUUUCCUCUGAUGCCAGCCUCAGCCCAGCCUCUGCUACCCUGAGAGAGACCCUGCCCUACCUCCCCAUGCCCACCUCCACCGUCCCCUCCUGCCAGGGUCCCACCCCUGAGCAACAUGGCCCUGCCUUCCCUCUGCAAAUUCUUUCCAGACUAAGCGGCAACACCGGCAGAGCCUCCCAAGGAAGGGAGGAGGGAGGACAGAGGCCAAGGUGGCUCCCGGCCACCCUUCCAGCUUCCUCCCUCCCUGGCCACAAGGACAUAAAGCUCAGAGGGAUGGAUGGACAGACAGGAAGGCUCAGGCUGGACACGCAUUGUCCGAGAUCUUCCCAGGACCCUGCAGGAGGGCAGGCCGCAGCAGCCCCAAGGAACAGCCCGGGGGAGGGAAGGCAGAUGGCCGCCUCAAAGCCAGCCCUGAGUCCUUCCCCUCUAGGCCUGAGUGUCAAGGGCAGACCCAGCCCAUGGCUUUGGGGACCUGGUGGCACUGACUCCAGCAGGAGAUCCCUGGGCUGAGCCCUGGCAGGUAGGGGAGGCCUGGACUCAUGGGGACAGAACACUGUCUCAGCCUGAUGUGGCUCGGGGAGGAGGGUAGGGCCCCUGGUCAUGUAGGUCCUGGCCCCAUGCGCCUGCUCUCCACCUGACCUCAGCAGGCAGGUCUCUUGGGCCAUUCGUGCACCCAGCUGCCCUGGAGCCCCAAACUGGGACUGGUGGAGGGGCCCUGCGGAGGGGAAGGCUGGGGUCCAAGAAGCCCAUGAAGCCAUGUGCCAGGGCCAGAGCUGGUCUGCCUGGUCUGGAUGGUAUGUCAUCCUUGUGUUACAAGUGGGGAAACUGAGGCUUGGGGAGUAACAUCACAGGUUCAAGGUCUUAAAGCUGAGAAGUGGCCCCUCUGGGUUUGGAAGGCAGGCUGGACCCUGGGGCAGCCUCUACCCCCAGCCCCUCUUCCCCAGGACCCUACGACCCCAAGAGGCUUCCCUGGCAACCCGGUCAGCCCUCUCUGUCCUCUCCCCAGCUCCCCUUGUCCUGUCCAGGGCUGAGCACCGUCCCACAGCCCACUUCCCUAGCAGGGCUGUAUGGCCCAGCGGGCCCCUAGAGGGAGACCUGGGGUCUGGAGGGGGAGGGGAGUGUUUCAGGCUGAAGCUGAGCCUGGGGAAGCAGGCGGGGGUGGCUAGACGGGCCACCCCCUCAACAGUUUUCAGACCUCAAGGAGUCACCAUGAAAUUCCAUUCUCCUGACAGCAAAGAAAUUGAUUCACUCUUGCCAAAGCCUGCGGCCCCCACAAGAAUGCUGUAAAGCUUCCUCCCGCUGCUUCCAGACAGGCAGCAGCAUCAGGUCCCCCACUCCUCCAUUCCUGACCACACAGAGACGCGGAACCUCCGUACCCAGUUCUAUGCAUGUGCCCCUGCCAGGCUGGGCCAUUCACCUCUGUAUAGUCACUCCCUUGGCACAAUAUCCCCCUUGCUUUCUGUACAAUGGGCACCUUGCUCCCACGACCUGCUGGGUCAAAGGCACCGCAGUCAGGGGUAGUUGGGGAGCAGGGGUGGUGGGGGGCUCAGGGCAGGAAGUCCCACCCCCUGGCCUGGGAACUGUGGAGAGACGGACUCACAGCACCUUGUCAGGUGGGGUGCAGGGUGGCACGGCACCCACCAUCGGUGCCACUGAUGUAAAGUCCAGAUACAAAGCACAGCCCAUCCAAAGAUUUGGGGGCUUGGUCAUGCUUGGCUGCUGGGGAAUGAGGAGGGAUUGGGCCUCAAGAAACAGAGCUAGGACUAAGUCACGAGGUGUGUGGACAUCAGGCGGGACUUGAACUCAGCCAGUGGAGAGCUAUGGAGGGUUUUGUUCUUCAUGUGGGUGUGUGAGUGGCUAUGAUCCUAGCGUGGAGAAUAAGCAAAGCAAAUAGGAUAGGAGUGGGUGGGACAGGAGUGGACGCUGCCUAAGCGAUCCAGGGAAGAGAUGGCUCCCUCUCUGAAACAAUGCAGAUAUGGGAGAGGCUGAAGUGAUCGGUGUGAAGCACGUGGGGGCAUGGAGACCCCUCAGUCCGGAGGCUGGGGCUGGGCUGGGGCUCAGCUGACUUUUGUGGGGGCAGCCAACCCAGCCACUGGGUCCUUUCUCCCCGCCUCACCCUCAAGCCUCUCCAGCUGCCUGGAGGCUCCAGGGCUAGGCUCUGGCUGAUCGGGGAGGGGUUUAUGGCAGGAGGUGACGCCAUGGGAGACUUGUCACUUGGGCACAGCCAGCACCAUCUGCUGGGGCAUCUGCCUUCGGAGGUGGUGACUGCUAAUUACCUGGGGCCAGGAAGAGGCCUGGGAACCCCCAUCCCCCACACCGCCCAGCCGGUACAGGGGCUAGGGGUGGGGCCCCUGGGGCCCUAAGAGCAAAUGGGCUACAUCGUCCUUAGAGGGGGUCUGACAGUGGGGCCAGACACUUAUCCAGUGAAUUUUUUCAGAGCACCUACGAUGUCCCAAAACCUGUUCCAGGUCGGGAUGACAUGAGGUCGCUGCUGUCUUGCGGCUGACGUUCAGGUAGAGGAAAGGAGAGGAGCGCCAAGGGGCACUUAAAUAAUUUAAAAUGCCAUCUCAGGCGUGAACAUAACUGUCAGCGUCCGAGGGGAGCAGUUUAGCCACGGUGGUGGUGGCGAUGGUGGUCGUGGUGGUCGCAGAGACCGUGCUUAGGAGGGCACGGGAAGGCAGCGCAGCCACGCGCAGAGCCACGCCCGUCCACGCUUCCGGAGGACGUGGAGGGCAGGGGGCUCACACCCUGCUCAGGGGACCCUUGGCCACUUCCGGGCCCCUCGCCCCUCACCCUCGGCUGCCGGCGCGCAUUCCUGCCGCCCCCGCUCGUGCGAGGGGCGGGCCCGGGCCCGGGCCCGUGGGAAGGGCCGGGGGUGGGGGCCGUGUGCCGGGGAGGCGGGCCGGGAGGGCGCACAGCUGGGCCGCAUCUGGCCCGAGCGCAAGGAGACCAAAUGGGACAGAAGGCGGCCUUUCAUCGGGCGAGGGAAGUGGCGGCCUUCGUUUCUCCUCGCCACGGGGCGCCUGAGGAUUUCGGGGAGCCAACCCGCCCGACGGAGGGCCGGGACUCGAGGAAAUUAGCCCAGGAGGAAGGAGUGGAAUUUGGUUCUGGUGCUUUCUCGCCAGAACCUCGUGUCCCCACCUGCAGCACAGGUGGCCAAGCUCUUGCUCUGUACAAAUAACGGUUCCCCUGAACCGAGCGCUCGGGAAGACCCAGUCGCCACCCCAGUUUGCAGGGCCUGCUGCGUCCCAAGGGGAGGAAGCCGGGCUCAGGAGGGGAAGGGCACAGCGAGGAAGUAGGAUGUCCCCCGCGGUCCGUCGGAGCCCUGAGCCCGGGGCCCAGCACCCUGCCCGCUGCGCCAAGGGUGCGCCCCUCCCGUGCGCGGACGCCCGGUGCAUCCCCGCCCGGCGCUGGCCAGGCUAGAUUUCCUCUUCAGGGACACCGGCGCCGGCCGGGCCCAAGUCCCCAAGCCCCUCAGCAACCCGCAGGGGCUACCCGAGGAGGGCGGGGCGUGCACGUGCGCGCCGGGGGCGGGGCCGUUGCGCUCUCUGGGUCGUUCCCAGCCCCCAGCCGCGGCCCCACGUGGGUCUGCAGGCCUGGAGCCUCGACUGGCGCGAGGCCCCGCCCCCGAGCGAGGGAGCCAAUGAGC
ensembl:lncRNA